rnacentral:rRNA from 1 species
GACGUAGGGCGCGAGCGUUGUCCGGAUUUAUUGGGCGUAAAGAGCUCGUAGGCGGCUUGUCGCGUCGACUGUGAAAACCCGCGGCUCAACCGUGUGGCGUGCAGUUGAUACGGGCAGGCUAGAGUUCGGUAGGGGGAGACUGGAAUUCCUGGUGUAGCGGUGAAAUGCGCAGAUAUCAGGAGGAACACCGGUGGCGAAGGCGGGUCUCUGGGCCGAUACUGACGCUGAGGAGCGAAAAGCGUGGGUAGCAAACAGG